rnacentral:rRNA from 1 species
GGCCAGACUCCUACGGGAGGCAGCAGUGGGGAAUCUUCCGCAAUGGGCGCAAGCCUGACCCAGCAACGCCGCGUGAAGGAAGAAGGCUUUCGGGUUGUAAACUUCUUUUGACAGGGAAGAGUAGAAGACGGUACCUGUCGAAUAAGCCACGGCUAACUACGUGCCAGCAGCCGCGGUAAUACGUAGGUGGCAAGCGUUAUCCGGAUUUACUGGGUGUAAAGGGCGUGUAGGCGGGGAAGCAAGUCAGAUGUGAAAUUCCAGGGCUCAACCCUGGAACUGCAUUUGAAACUGUUUUUCUUGAGUGAUGGAGAGGCAGGCGGAAUUCCGUGUGUAGCGGUGAAAUGCGUAGAUAUACGGAGGAACACCAGUGGCGAAGGCGGCCUGCUGGACAUUAACUGACGCUGAGGCGCGAAAGCGUGGGGAGCAAGCAGGAUUAGAUACCCGAGUA